UAUCUUGCUACACAGGACGCCUUCCAGUACUUGGGGAGCUUGCGCUCCAGGUUUGUCAUAAAGGGGUGACAGUGGAGUGUGCGCUGACAGUCUUGGACUGUGCGGGACCAAGCCUCUGCGGUCGCGAUUUAAUCCAGCGGCUGAACAGCGCAGGUGCUCCAGUGGUUAGUUUUGUAGAGACCUCGGCGGUAACAAAUGACUCGAGCGAAUCCAGCGUGAACAGCAUAUUCAAUGACUACAACGACGUGUUCUCCGAGGAACUGGGGCUAAUCAAGGGUCCUCCAGCCAGCCUGCACAUGAAGGAAGGCGCCGUACCCAAGUUCUGCAAGGCCAGACCCAUUCCAUACGCGCUACGCGAGCGAGUGUCACUCGAGCUAGACCGUUUAGUUUCUGUGGGCGUGCUGUCGCCGGUGGCACACUCUGAAUGGGCAACGCCCAUAGUCGUAGUGCUUAAGAAAGACGGCGCAGUAAGAAUCUGCGGGGAUUUCAAGGCCACAGUAAAUCCAGCGUGUGCAACUGAGCAAUACCCAUUGCCAAUCAUUGAGGAUAUGUUUGCCCGAUUACACGAUGGGGACUAUUUCAGCACUCUGGAUUUACGGGAUGCAUACAAUCAAGUAGCGCUAGACGAUAACGCGAAGAAAGUUUGCGUCAUUAAUACGCCAAAAGGGCUAUUUUGCUACAAUCGACUUCCAUUCGGUAUAGCCUCAGCGCCCGCAAUAUUCCAAAGGAAAAUGGAUGAGGUAUUGGCUGGCCUUCCAGGAGCACAGGCUUAUCUUGACGAUGUGCUCAUUUCUGAAAAAGCGAGUGACGGUGGCGAAAGGCUGAAAAACGUCUUACAGCGCUUCCGAGAGCGCGGUGUAAAGCUAAGGUUCGAUAAAUGCAACUUGCGCAGCCCAGCAGUAACUUAUCUAGGCCAUCGGAUCGAUCGUGAUGGGCUUCAUCCGACAGAAAAAAACCUUGACGCUAUCAUGAAGGCACCGAGCCCCUGUAAUGUCAGUGAGCUACGUUCAUUCUUGGGCAUGAUUACUUUUUACGCGCGGUUUCUGCCGAACAUGUCAACCACACUUGGCCCAUUGUAUCAACUGCUUGAAAAGAACGCACGCUGGCAAUGGAAACAGCCGCAAGAGCACGCGUUUGAUCUUGCCAAGCAAAGCCUUAAAACAGCCAAGGUUCUAGUUCAUUUCGACCCUUCGAAGGAACUUAAACUGGAGUGUGACGCGUCUCCGUACGGUGUGGGAGCUGUCUUGUUUCACACGACCGGUAACGUUCACAGGCCCAUUGGGUUCCGCUCGCGAACAUUAACGCAGGCGGAGCGCAACUAUUCGCAGCUCGAGCGAGAGGCACUGGCACUGGUAUUCGGCGUCACGAAAUUCCGUGACUACCUUCUAGGUCGGGAAUUUACCUUAGUGACUGACCACCAGCCAUUGUUGGGCCUGCUGAAAUCGGACAAGCAGACGCCUACAAUGGCCGCCGCACGGAUACAACGUUGGGCACUCCACCUGGGGGCCUACCGCUACCGGCUACAGUAUGCACCAGGACGACAGAUGCUGAACGCUGACGCCCUCAGCCGACUUCCGCAAAGAUCUCCGGAAUCUGACGAUGACGGUGAGCCGCCCGAAUAUGUGCUGUCGCUAAACCAGCUGAACAAUGGCACCAUAACAACGCGUGAGCUGAAAGCAUUAACGGCUUUUGACCCUGUCCUGGUCGAGGUCAAACGGUACAUAUUACAUGGGUGGCCCAGAAACGCAAACGGAAUGGCCCGGGCCGUACUGCCGUUUUUUGACCGCAAGCUCGAAUUAUCCGUAGCACAUGAACUGGUGUACUGGGGUAAUAGGGUCAUAAUACCGACCGAAGCUAGGGAGCGAGUGCUGCAUCUUCUACAUGAAACGCACCAGGGUUCACCGGCAAUGAAAUCUGUCGCUCGUUCUUUGUUCUGGUGGCCAGGCCUCGACAAAAAUAUUGAAGACGUGUCUGCACAAUGCCAGUUCUGUGUGCAAAAUCUGCCGAUGCCAACUGCAGCUCCCGUCGUUAACUGGCCUGAAACAGGCGAAAGGUGGUCCCGUAUUCACAUGGACUACGCGGGUCCGAUCUGCGGAAAAAUGAUACUCGUACUAGUCGAUGCACACACCAAAUGGCUCGAAGCAAUACCUUUGUCACAUGCCUCAACGCAGACUACCAUUGACUGUCUGCGUGGCAUUUUCAGCAGGUUUGGAAUACCGCGCACGAUCGUUUCUGACAACGGGACCCCAUUUGCCAGUCAAGACUUCGCGUUGUUCGUGGCAAACAACAACAUUGUGCACCUUCGAUGCGCUCCAUACCAUCCCCAGUCUAAUGGUGCGGCGGAAAGGGCAGUACGAACGAUAAAAGAUGGUCUUCGAAAAAUGACGAAAGGAAAACUUGAAGAGAACCUUGUACGGUUGCUUUUUAACUACCGGAGGACUCCGCAAAAAUCGGCACUUGCAGGACCAAAAGAGGACCAAGAUGACUGGCUGCCGCUACCUGCAAGUGAAGUGUAUGCCCGCAAUUACGGUGUGGGGAGCAAGUGGACGCCCGGUCAUGUGAAGGCGACGUCGGGAGCGAGAAUGGUGACCGUGGAAACAUCGGACGGAGUCAUCCAGCGGCACGUGGACCAGGUCCGCCCGCGACAGGAAGUACCAGGGGACAAACCGACAGUAACUACAACCACCACAUAUCGCAGUGAGCCGGACCAAGCAACACAACUACAGCAUCCAGAAACGGUGAAUCGGGAUGAAGGCAUAACUGCUCGGCGCAUUCUAAAUGGCACCCGUUCUCCAGACUUUGCGGCACCAGAUAUUCCAGUGGCCCCGUUGCAUACAGGUGUCGCCCAACAAACGCUGAGACGCUCAACGAGAGAACGCAAGCCAGUGCAACGCUUUCAUUUCUGAGGAGGAAGGAAUGUUGCAACUUAACGCAUUUUCGAAGUGCGCGCACCUUUUAUCGCCUUAUCUGGCGAUCCUUCGAGUUCGGAUUAUCACUACUAACACGUGCUCCUUUCUAUCUUCCUGCCACUCGGCUACUUAUAAAUACGCUUGACACCUUUGAAUAAACGUUCAUUUUGUUCUACUGAC